UCUGCCCAGUGCAACUAAAUUAACGUUUGUUGUAAAUGGCGGCGUUAACGUGAGCGUCCUAAGGUAGCGCGAUAAUUUGCUUUUUAAUUAAAGGAUGGUAUGAAAGGGUUAACGAAGAAGAUGCUGUGUCUAAGAAUUUAAUUUAAACUAACUUUAAGGUGAAGAGGCCUUUAUGAAAAAGAAGGACGACAAGACCCUAUGAAGCUUUACCUUAAUUGAAGCUUUCAAGCUUUUAUACGGUUUUGAUGGGAGAUCAGUAAAAAUAGAUCCUUUGCUAUAGAGUUUAUCCUACCAGAAUUUCCUAAUUUUAUAUGUGUGAUUAGCUACUCUAGGGAUAACAGCGCAAUUUCUCCCGAAAGAUGGUAUUGGAGGGGAAGAUUGUGACCUCGAUGUUGGCUUUAGGUGUCCUAGAGGUGUAGAAGCA
rnacentral:rRNA from 1 species